GGACGAACGCUGGCGGCGUGCUUAACACAUGCAAGUCGAGCGGUAAGGCCCUUUCGGGGGUACACGAGCGGCGAACGGGUGAGUAACACGUGGGUGACCUGCCCCUAGCUCUGGGAUAAGCCUGGGAAGCUGGGUCUAAUACCGGAUAUGACCUCGCGGUGCAUGUUGCGGGGUGGAAAGCCUUGUGCGGCUAGGGAUGGGCCCGCGGCCCAUCAGCUUGUUGGUGGGGUNAUGGCCUACAAGGCGACGACGGUAGCCGGCCUGAGAGGGCGACCGGCACACUGGGACUGAGACACGGCCCAGACU
rnacentral:rRNA from 1 species